AAGAGAAUGGCAGAUUGGUAUGUGGUUAACUUGAAAUUAGUUGAGGGGGGUUCGAUUCCUUCUUCUCUUG
rnacentral:tRNA from 1 species